UCCAGCGACGGAUCUGGCUUGAAGCAGUAGCACUGCAAAAUCUUCAGUAGCACUCAGCUUGAUUCCGGAAUCGACCUGCGCCUCUGACUCCAAUCUGAAUCGCGCCGGCGGCGACGAUGCGCUCACCAUUCACGAAGACGACGGCGACGGAUCUAGCUUGAAUCUCCGAAGCAGUAGCACUGCAAAAAAAAUCUCCAGUAGCACUCAAAUUGAUUCCGGAAUCGACCUUCGCCUCUUAUUCUAAAAUUGCAGAGUGUAAUUCUGUGAGAGAGAGAGAGAGGAUCGUCAGAAACAGAAGAAAAAGAUGAAUUACUGCUAGUUUGAGAUUGAUUGAGGGGAAGCAGUAGCAUUCAGGGGAAGCAGUAGCACUCAGUUUGGAGUGUGGGGAAGUAGUAGCCUCUUCUGAAAAUGAUGAAUUACUGCUAGUUUGAGAUUGAUUGAGGGGAAGCAGUAGCAUUCAGGGGAAGCAGUAGCACUCAGUUUGGGAACCCAUAUCGGCCAUAAGACCCUCUCCUUGAUUCUCGGAGCGACCGCCGCUAGCAGAUGAAGAAGAUGGAGAAAUGGCCAGGCAUUUAUAUGGGCCGCGGAAUCUGGGCCCAAGCAGGAGACUUGAGGAGGGUGGUGUUAUCCUCCACCACUUGUAUUUGAGAUUCUUAUUUUGGUUUUGGUUUUGGUUUUGGGUUUGGAGGGUUGUUGGGUGGUGGGUGGUUGUGAAGGAGGAGCGAGAGAGAGAACGAGGGCGGACCCAAUUGGGGAGGAGGAGAUUUUGGGGGUGGGGUUUUAUAGGAGAGGUUGCUGUGGUCAUUUUGAGCACAAGGGAUGACAUGGUUUUUGGUUUUGGUUUUGGUUUUGGUUUUGUGCUACUGUGUUAUCGUUGUAUUUGUGCUAUAUUUGUGCUACUGUGCUACUGUGUUAUUGUUGUUAUGUGCUACUGUGUUUAUUUGAAGUUUCUUUCUGCAGUUUAUUGUUGUUAUGUGCUACUGUGUUAUCGUUGUAUUUGUGCUACUGUGUUAUCGUUGUAUUUGUGCUACUGUGCUACUGUGUUAUUGUUGUUAUGUGCUACUGUGUUUAGUUUAUUGUUUUUAUGUGCUACUGUGCUACUGUGUUAUUGUUGUUAUGUGCUACUGUGUUUAUUUGAAGUUUCUUUCUGCAGUUUAUUGUUGUUAUGUGCUACUGUGUUUAGUUUAUUGUUGUUGGAGAUUUUGUUUGAAACCAAACAUGGAGCCUAAAAUAUGAUUUUCACUUCUGUGGGAUCUCUAUUGUUUCACUAUCCCAUCACUCAUAAUGUGCAUGUGUGAAGUACAUAUUAUUGUUAUGUGCUAUUAUGUGUGCAGUACAUAUUCUUCAUGAACUGGACGAGUGCAGUAGCAGAACUGGACGAGUAUGAGUUCAGCGAGUGCAGUAGCAGAAUUGGACGAGCAUGAGUGCAGUAGCAGAAUUGGACGAGUAUGAGUGCAGCGAGUGCAGUAGCAGGAUUAGGUGAUGACGAGUGCAGUAGCAGAACUGGACGAGUAUGAGUGCAGCGAGUGCAGUAGCAGAUUGGACGGGUGCAGUAGCAGGAUUAGGCGAUGACGAGUGCAGUAGCAGAACACAAGUAGCAGAACUGGACGAGUAUGAGUGCAGCGAGUGCA